rnacentral:rRNA from 1 species
CGUGUAGGCGGCUUCACAGGUCCGCUGUGAAAACUCGAGGCUCAACCUCGAGCUGUCGGUGGAAACCGUGUGGCUAGAGUCCGGAAGAGGAGAGUGGAAUUCCCGGUGUAGCGGUGAAAUGCGCAGAUAUCGGGAAGAACACCCGUGGCGAAGGCGGCUCUCUGGGACGGUACUGACGCUGAGACGCGAAAGCGUGGGAGCGAACA